rnacentral:rRNA from 1 species
UGAGUACGAGAUGCUACGGCAUCGAAGCAGUCUAUGUCAUACUUCCAAGAAAAGCUUGCACUGUCAGAAACAGAUAAUGCCUGUACCAUAACCGACACAGGUGGGUAGGUAGAGUAUACUAAGGGGCGCGAGAUAACUCUCUCUAAGGAACUCGGCAAAAUGACUCCGUAACUUCGGGAGAAGGAGUGCCUUAUUUUUAAGGUUGCAAUAACAAGAUCCAAGCAACUGUUUGCCAAAAACACAGGUCUCCGCUAAGUCGUAAGACGAUGUAUGGGGGCUGACGCCUGCCCAGUGCCAGAAGGUUAAAGAAGUCGGUUAGCAUUCGCGAAGCUGGUAACUGAAGCCCUGGUGAACGGCGGCCGUAACAAUAACGGUCCUAAGGUAGCGAAAUUCCUUGUCGGGUAAGUUCCGACCCGCACGAAAGGCGUAAUGAUUUGGAUACUGUCUCGGAGAGGGGCUCGGUGAAAUAGACUUGUCUGUGAAGAUGCGGACUACCUGCACCUGGACAGAAAGACCCUAUGAAGCUUUACUGUAACUUGAAAUUGAAAUUGGACUUUAUUUGCGCAGUAUAGGUGGGAGGCGUUGAAAAUAUUCUUGCGGGAAUAUUGGAGCCAUCAGUGAGAUACCACUCUUGUAAUGUUAGAUUUCUAACUUUAUAUCAUUAUCUGGUUAAAGAACAGUUUCAGGCGGGCAGUUUGACUGGGGCGGUCGCCUCCCAAAUGGUAACGGAGGCGCACAAAGGUUUCCUCUGAACGGGUAGAAAUCGUAUCUAGAGUGUAAAGGCAUAAGGAAGCUUGACUGUGAGACCUACAAGUCGAGCAGGGACGAAAGUCGGUCUUAGUGAUCUGACGGUGCUGAGUGGAAAGGCCGUCACUCAACGGAUAAAAGUUACUCUAGGAUAACAGGCUGAUCUCCCCCAAGAGUUCACAUCGACGGGGAGGUUUGGCACCUCGAUGUCGGCUCAUCGCAUCCUGGGGCGGUAGUACGUCCCAAGGGUUGGGCUGUUCGCCCAUGAAAGCGGUACGCGAGCUGGGUUCAGAACGUCGUGAGACAGUUCGGUCCAUAUCCGGUGUAGGCGUUAGAAUAUUGAGAGGAGCCUUCUUUAGUACGAGAGGACCGAGAAGGACAUACCUCUGGUGUACCAGUUAUCGUGCCAACGGUAAACGCUGGGUAGCUAUGUAUGGAGUGGAUAACCGCUGAAAGCAUCUAAGUGGGAAGCCCACCUCAAGAUAAGUAUUCUCAUCACGUAAGUGAAUAAGGUCACGGUAAGACUAACCGUUUGAUAGGCAUUAAGUGUAAAUCUAGUAAUAGGUGAGCUGAGAUGUACUAACAGACCGAAGACUUGA